CUGUCCUCGGACGAUUUCGACUACCUUCGAUUGCUUUCGACUGUAAGCAGGGCCGUCUCGCAUUAUGUCUAAUACGGGUGGGAAUUUUCCCGCUGUUAGAAACAAACAAAUGUCCUUACGAAUCUUAUAAAUACUUUCAAUAGAGAGGCUCGUCCCCUUACGGUCCCCAGAGGGAAGGAUGGCUAUUCGAAUCAACUCGAUCUUCGAGGAACAGAAUUUACGAAGGAAGUGGCUAUGCGAAUCUACAGGCACUGAAGAAGCGCGGGAGAAUUUAUUUUCUCAGAAGUGUAGCGUGGCCUCGGUACAGUCUCUGCCGUUACCGGUUGAAUAAUUUCAUCCUUCCGUCCCAAGAUAAACCUACGCUCCAGCAUGAAUGUGACCAAACAUAUUACCAACAUCAAGUUAGAGUUUUAAUGAUGAAAAUAUUUAUUUUUUUUCAUUUAAUAUGUUUCUAUGAAAAUAUUAUGGAUUAUUUUUGUUGUAAAAUAAUAAAAGAAAAAUGAGAUAUAAUAAAAUAUGAGUAUUACAGAAUUCCAAAUGAAAUCAAUUGUAACCAAAAUUGAAGAAAGCUUAUUAAUUUUGAUGAAUGAAUAAUCUGGAAAUAUUUACAUUUACUUUGCAAAAUACGAGACAAAACUAUUGGUCUUCUUUCGAAGUUUUGAGUUAGAUAUUCGAAUGCAAAAUUAUAAUUGAUCCUAGAAUGUUUAAAAAGAUAAAUUUUUGAAAGAGCAAAAGCAAAAUGAAGAUCUUUUAAAUAUAGUGCCACACGUAUAAGAGUGCUUUGGAAAGGAAUUAUUUUGCAAGCAGUAUCACUUACAAAAUUCGUGCAUCGAGAGUCUUUUACUCUAAAUACAAAUACUCGCUCUGAAUUUUGUGAGUAAUUGUCUAAGGAGUAAGUAAUUUUUUUUAAGUAAAUUAUCGAGCAUGUUAACAAGAAUAAAAGCUUGAAGAAUCGAAGCAUAAUAUAUAUAUGUAUGUGUCUAUGUAUAUAUAUAUACACAUAUAUAUAUAUAUAUAUAAUAUAUAUAUAUAUGAUCUAGAAAUCAGAAUUAAAAAUUGGCUGGUCCAAUGUAAUGUAUCGCAGCCAGAUGUAACACGAGCACUAUACCAAAGGCUGAUACCAAAUGCUCUUGACGUUCAACUGUGUGUCACAGGGACAUUUCAAAUUGUCAGUGUGGCUUUUCUUGCAUCGCAUUCCUUUGAUUAAUUGUUACAUUUCUAUCAAUAAGAGAUUUUCUGUGCCACACAGUCAUAAUAAAUCAAUAUAUUGUUUAUUGCAUAAUUAAACAAUGCGUAAUUUAAAUAAAUAUUUUUUGAAUUUUUAUACAAAAAUAGAAAUUAAAUGAAUCCGUUCACUCUCGUUAUCGCGCAUUGAUAACUACUUUUUCAAGCUUCAAUUAGCAGUGCAUUAAAGAAAUAGUGCUUAAUGAAGAUUAAAAAAAAAGAAACAAGAAAAUCGAUUACCUCUAUCAACUUACCGGGAACUUGCUUUUUGGGAAAUCUUUUUAAUCAGAAACAUUUGGAAAUUGAUAUCAUGGAGAAUAUUUAACCAAUCCCGUGCUGUUAAGAAAUAAAAGCUUGGAAUUGAUUGAUAUUUCAAGGUCGAGGACAUCUUUUUAUCUUUCUACAUCGUAUAAUCAUCCUGGUAUCAAAUAAUAACUACUACUUACAAUAGUCUUUCUGUAUAAGAAUGAAGACUCUAUAAAAUUUUUCAAUUUAUAAAAAUGACAUUGUAUUUUUGAUUUUGCAUUAAUUUAUAUCAAAUAUUAGCAUUGAGAAUUAAAUUUAUAAGAAAUAGCAUUAUAACAAAAUUAUCAAACCAAUACAAAUUAUUAAAUUAUACUAAUAAAAUAAAUUAUUCUAAUUAAUGUCUGUUUUUUAAUAUUAAUAUUACAUACAUAAAAACAAAUGAAUAUCGUAAAAGAUGAAUUGCUUUCGUUUGUUUAUGAUACAUUAAAACGUGUUUUUUUAAAAAGUCUCAGUCUAACAAUCUAAUUGAAAAACAAUUUAUCAGCGGCACGCAUUCAUAUGCACAGCAAGAUUACAAAAUUGGACUUCUGAUCGACGCACUUUAUACGCGACAUUAAAUGCAUACGCUUCUAAUAUACUCUACUGAUUGGGUCUGAUUGUCGACCGUAAUAAAGUUCAACUUUAUGCAAAAGAAUAAUUUUCUUGUUAAGCAUGUGAACUUAAAACUUCAAGAUAAUAUUUCGAAUAUAUGAUAAGAAAAAAUGUAAGAAUAUUAUUUAUAAGAUGAAUAUAUAUAUAUAUAGAUAUGUAAGAUAUGGAAUAUAUCAUGUGAAUUCCUACAACAUAAAAAAAAAAAUAAAUAUAUAACGUAUAAUAUAACGUAAAAAAAAUAGGCUUUCGUCCAAUUAGACGAUGUAUUCAACAUUUGUAAAAAAAAAAAA